rnacentral:rRNA from 1 species
UACGUAGGGGGCUAGCGUUGUCCGGAAUCAUUGGGCGUAAAGCGCGUGUAGGCGGUCCGGUAAGUCCGCUGUGAAAGUCGAGGGCUCAACCCUCGAAUGCCGGUGGAUACUGUCGGGCUUGAGUACGGGAGAGGCGAGUGGAAUUCCUGGUGUAGCGGUGAAAUGCGCAGAUAUCAGGAGGAACACCAGUGGCGAAGGCGGUUCUCUGGGCAUUACCUGACGCUGAGGAGCGAAAGUGUGGGGAGCGAACAGG